UACGGAGGGUGCGAGCGUUGUCCGGAAUCAUUGGGCGUAAAGGGCGCGUAGGUGGCCCGGCAAGCGUGCGGUGAAAGUCGGGGGCUCAACCCCCGAUCGGCCGUCGAUACUCCCGGGCUGGAGCACUGUAGAGGCAGGUGGAAUUCCGGGUGUAGCGGUGGAAUGCGUAGAGAUCCGGAAGAACACCGGUGGCGAAGGCGGCCUGCUGGGCAGUAGCUGACGCUGAGGCGCGACAGCGUGGGGAGCAAACAGG
rnacentral:rRNA from 1 species